UACGUAGGAUGCGAGCGUUAAUCGGAAUUACUGGGCGUAAAGGGCUCGUAGGCGGCCAACUAAGUCAGACGUGAAAUCCCUCGGCUUAACCGGGGAACUGCGUCUGAUACUGGAUGGCUUGAGUUUGGGAGAGGGAUGCGGAAUUCCAGGUGUAGCGGUGAAAUGCGUAGAUAUCUGGAGGAACACCGGUGGCGAAGGCGGCAUCCUGGACCAACACUGACGCUGAGUGAGCGAAAGCCAGGGGAGCAAACGGG
rnacentral:rRNA from 1 species